rnacentral:rRNA from 1 species
GGGGGGGGGGCCUAAUCCUGCAAGUCGAGCGAAUGGUAAUCAAGAGCUUGCUCUUAUGACAUGUAGCGGCGGACGGAUGAGUAACACGUGGCUAACCUGCCCAUAAGACUGGGAUAACUCCGGGAAACCGGGGCUAAUACCGGAUAACAUUUUGAACCGCAUGGUUCGAAAUUGAAAGGCGGCUUCGGCUGUCACUUAUGGAUGGACCCGCGUCGCAUUAGCUAGUUGGUGAGGUAACGGCUCACCAAGGCAACGAUGCGUAGCCGACCUGAGAGGGUGAUCGGCCACACUGGGACUGAGACACGGCCCAGACUCCUACGGGAGGCAGCAGUAGGGAAUCUUCCGCAAUGGACGAAAGUCUGACGGAGCAACGCCGCGUGAGUGAUGAAGGCUUUCGGGUCGUAAAACUCUGUUGUUAGGGAAGAACAAGUGCUAGUUGAAUAAGCUGGCACCUUGACGGUACCUACCCAGAAAGCCACGGCUAACUACGUGCCAGCAGCCGCGGUAAUACGUAGGUGGCAAGCGUUAUCCGGAAUUAUUGGGCGUAAAGCGCGCGCAGGUGGUUUCUUAAGUCUGAUGUGAAAGCCCACGGCUCACCCGUGGAGGGUCAUUGGAAACUGGGAGACUUGAGUGCAGAAGAGGAAAGUGGAAUUCCAUGUGUAGCGGUGAAAUGCGUAAAGAUAUGGAGGAACACCAGUGGCGAAGGCGACUUUCUGGGCUGUAACUGACACUGAGGCGCGAAAGCGUGGGGAGCAAACGGGAUUAGAUACCCUGGUAGUCCACGCCGUAAACGAUGAGUGCUAAGUGUAAGAGGGUUUCCGCCCUUUAGUGGUG